CCUAGCUAAUUUGGAGUUUCAGAUCAACAACGAAUCCUUUUUAGCCUGAGUACAUCCCAUACAAUGCUUGGGGCAUACUUAUACUCGAAGAUUUAUUUGUUGCUCAUUCAAAUUCAA
rnacentral:miRNA from 1 species